AUUGAACGCUGGCGGCAGGCCUAACACAUGCAAGUCGAGCGAGCGGCGGACGGGUGAGUAAUGUAUGGGGACUGCCCGAUAGAGGGGGAUAACUACUGGAAACGGUGGCUAAUACCGCAUACUAUCGGAUAACCCAUAUGGGAUUAGCGAGUAGGUGGGGUAAAGGCUCACCUAGGCGACGAUCUCUAGCUGGGCUGAGAGGAGGAACAUCCCCCCUGGGACUGAGAAACGGCCCAGGCUACCCCAUAACCACCAAUAUAAAAUAUUCCACAAUGCACGCAAGCCUGAUUGAGCCAUGCCGCGUGUAUGAAGAAUGCCUUAGGGUUAUAACGUACUGUCAGCGGGGAGGCGUUACCCGCAGAAGAAGCACCGGCUAACUCCGUGCCAGCAGCCGCGGUAAUAC
rnacentral:rRNA from 1 species